rnacentral:tRNA from 1 species
GGGCCCGUAGCUCAGUUGGUAGAGCAACUGACUUUUAAUCAGUAGGUCGCAGGUUCGAUCCCUGCCGGGCUCACCA